ensembl:lncRNA novel transcript
GGAGGUUGGAGGACAGGCCAAUCGCUCCCAGCUAUUUGAGCCAAUGGAGAAGUUCCUGAUGCCCACACCUGCUGGUCUCACCGCUAGGGCCUGGGCAUCACAGGCAGGGGGAAUGGGGAGGGGACGGUAGCGUCAGCCUACACCCACACGCAGUUUCCUGAUAAAAGGUCCUUUGGAAACUUUGAUUCUCUUCUCACCAAGUUGAACGGAGAUGUGUUCCCAUAGUAAGAGUGAGGCCCCUGCAUUUGCUGCCCUCGGUUUUCCCAACUAACACCAGGGCCUCCCCCCUGUACCCCAUUCAUAUGCCUCAGAAGCUGACAAUGACUGUUGGGCUUUUCCAAUGAAUACCAGAACACCAUUUCCUGCAGCCUGAAAAGAAGACAGUAUAAUUGUUUGGCAGCAAGAGAAUCCAGGUGCCCUUCCAUGAGAAGCCCAAGCCAUGUGGAGAAGCCACGUCUAGGGACUCCAGUUAACACUCUCAGCUGAGUCCCCAGCUGACAGUCAGCAUCAACUGCCAGCCACCUCUGUCUAAAAGUGGGCUAUCUUGGGCAUCCAGCCCAGUCAAGCCUUCAGAUGAGUCCAGUCCCAGCCACUAUCUCACACAACCACACGAGAGACAUCAAGAACUCCCAGUGGAGUCCAGUCAGCCCAUGGAACUGCAAGAGACAGGAUCUCGCUGCGUUGCUCAGACUGGUCUCGAACUCCUGGGCUUAAGGGAUUCUCCUGCCUCAAUCACAGCCUCCCAAGUAGCUGAGAUUAAAAGUGCUCACCACCGUGCCAGCGAGUUCAGUUUUUGAGGGUGGAGCCAAGACUCUGAGGAGAGGGCUGAACUGUGAACCUAGAAGUACCAUCUCCCCCUGCACACACCUUUGGUCAAGUUGACCCCAAGAAGAAGGACAAGUCCUCUGCACGGCGAUGAGGCCAUACACACAGUCUGUGGCCCGGCUUUGGGAGACUGAUGGGACAAAGGAUGUUUUGCACGAUCCUUGGUCUCUGAGCAAAUAUAUACAUGGGUUAACACAAAGGCUCUCUUUUUGAAAAAUGUGACUGUGAAAGUGUGCCCUCCCAGAUAUUCCAGGCAUAACACAGGAGUGACUGCAUGUUUGGGGACAGUGCGGAGGCCACUCUGAUUAGAUCAGAGGAUGUGGACUGGUUCAUGAUGUAAAAGCUGAAGGGAGGCCGGGCACAGUGGCUCACGCCUGUAAUCCUAGCACUUUGGGAGGCCAAGGUGGGUGGAUCACGAGGUCAGGAGAUCGAGACCAUCCUGGCUAACAAGGUGAAACCCCGUCUCUACUAAAAAUACAAAAAUUAGCCAGGCGUGGUGGCAGGCGCCUGUAGUCCCAGCUACUGGGGAGGCUGAGUACUGGGGAGGCUGAGGCAGGAGAAUGACGUGAACCUGGGAGGCAGAGCUUGCAGUGAGCUGAGAUCGCGCCACUGCACUCCAGCCUGGGCAACAAAGCGAGACGCUGUCUCAAAAAAAAAAAAUGCUGAAGGGAGGGUGGUAAUGAAGGGAAGAAGACUCCAGGGUUUCAAGUGCCAUGGAUUAAGGGAGGGAGUAAAGGCAGAGGGCCAGGACAGAUGGUUGGAUCUGUCUUAGAGGUGAGGUACCUUCAAGAUGCCUCAGGGAAAAUGGCCAGUAGUCCAUCAGGACUCAAGAGUAAGACUCCAGGAAGACACUUGAAAUGGGAAGAGAGCUAAGAAAAUAAUCCACAUAGAGGUGAUCAUUAAAGGCGUAAAGAAUAAAGCAAUAACGUAAAAAAAAAAAAAAAAAAAAAAAAAAAAA